rnacentral:tRNA from 1 species
GGGGAUGUGGCUCCAUGGUAGAGUUUGUGCCUAACAUGCAUGAGCCCUGGGUUCCAACCCCAACACCACUA